UGUCACUUCCCCUUGACGUGUCUCUCUCUUUCUCUUUUUCACUCUCUCUCUCUAUCUCUAUCUUUAUCUCUCUCACACUUUCUGUUUUUGGAGUUCCUUGUCUGUCUCUUCUUUUAUUCCCUCUCUCCCUCUCCCUCUCUCUCUCUCUCUCUCUCUUUCUCUCACUGUCUUGCCUCUGCUCUUCAUCUUACCCUUCUCUCUCUGGAUGUGCUGUCUGUUUUUCUCUCUUUCUGCCACUCUGUUAUUCUCUUUCUUUUUCAAGCGCCCUGUGUCCACCUCUACUUCUGUUCGCCAUCACCUCAUUCUCUCUGUCGUCCUUGUCUCUACUCUGGAGUUCUUUUCUUUCUUUCUUUCUGUUCGUCUUUCCCUGUGUCCCUCCCUCCCUCUGUGCUCCCUCCAUCACCCUUUCAUCUAUUCUCUGUCUAUCCUGUCGACUCUACCUCUCCUCCUUGUCUCUCAAGCUCAUAUUCUCCCUAUCCCCCCUUCACUCUUUCUCUUUCACUACCCUUUCACCCUCUCUAUCCUUCUAUCUCCUUCCCCUCUUCAUCCUCUCUCUCUCUUUCUCCUUAAUCCAUUCUUUCUCUCUUUCCUCUUCUUCCUCUCCUUCUCUCGCUCCUCUUCAUCCUCUCUUUCUCUCUCCCCUUCCUUUUGUGUCUCUCUUUCUGUCCCCUUCUUUCUCUCUCUCUUUCUCUCGCUCUCUCUUCAUCCUCUCUUUCUCUCUCCCCUUCCUUUUGUUGCUCUCUUUCUGUCCCCUUCUUUCUCUCUCUCUUUCUCUCUCCCCUUCCUUUUGUGUCUCUCUUUCUGUCCCCUUCUUUCCCUCUCUCUUUCUCUCUCUCUCUCCUCUUCAUCCUCUUUCUCUCUCUCUCUCCUCAUCCUCUCUCAUCUCUGUCUCUUGCUGUGCGUUCUGAAUAGAGAGUCCUGUCUCUGUGUGGGGCGUAAUAAGACUGGGCUGGUGACUGGGUCCCAUGCUGUGUGUGCGCUGUGACUGCGGCCUGCUGCAGAGGGGACACAGUCUGGG
rnacentral:lncRNA from 1 species